rnacentral:rRNA from 1 species
AUUGAACGCUGGCGGCAGGCCUAACACAUGCAAGUCGAGCGAGCGGCGGACGGGUGAGUAAUGGCUGGGACACUGCCUGAUGGAGGGGGCUAACUACUGGAAACGGUAGCUAAUACCGCAUAACAUCAGAUGUGCCCAGAUGGGAUUAGCUAGUAGGUGGGGUAAUGGCUCACCUAGGAGACGAUCCCUAGCUGGUCUGAGAGGAUGACCGGCCAGCCUGGAAAGGAGACACGGUCCAGAGUCUGACGUGAGGCAGCAGUGGGGAAUAUUGCACAAUGGGCGCAAGCAUGAUGCAGCAAGGCGGCGUGUGUGAAGAAGUCCUUCGGGUUGUAAAGCACUUUCAGCGGGGAGGCGUUACCCGCAGAAGAAGCACCGGCUAACUCCGUGCCAGCAGCCGCGGUAAUAC